GGAGUUGGGGGUAAGCAAAUGUGGUCAUUGCAAUUGGGAGACCUCAAUAUUUUAUGUUCUUGCUGAUAGCUAUGGUGAGGCUAUUAAUUGGGCAAGGCGUCAUAAAUCAGAGCUAUCCUAAGGCACAAACCCGAUGCCUUAGGGAGAGCUAAGGGUUGUAGGAGCUUAGAGAGCCUGUGGAAGGGCGAGCUAACUUCCGAAUCCUAAAACUUCCACUAAGCAUGUAGAUGCUUAGAAGUAGCACCUUCGGACGCGGGUUCGAUUCCCGCCGCCUCCACCA
rnacentral:tmRNA from 1 species